GAUCUCAAAGUUGUUGGCUGCCACAGCGGGUGCUCGGAUUCCCAAUCUAUGACCAUGAAUGUUUGGACGGUCGUAAGUGCCAAUGGGUCGAGCUGCUCGCUGUUGGUUAGGUGGACCAUUGUUGUUAGCGCCAUUGACGCCUGCAUCUUCUUGAUGAACGUCUCCCAUGUCAGUGUUCAGUCUCUGCAAUUGAGCCUGAUGUUCUUCUUCUCUCUUCUUUCUAGUACACUCUCUCUCUAAAGCUGAUGUCUGCUGCUCUUGGAACUAGGUUUGAUGGACCCCUGCUCCUCAAGUUCAUACACCUGUAGAUUAAAGGGAGGUGAAGAAGAGUCAGUAACAAAAGAAAAUAAAAAUGACUUAGUCUCAAGCAAUUGACUAAAUCUCAAUGUUUAAAUCUACUCAGAAUUUGGCAACGGGCNNNNNNNNNNNNNNNNNNNNNNNNNNNNNNNNNNNNNNNNNNNNNNNNNNNNNNNNNNNNNNNNNNNNNNNNNNNNNNNNNNNNNNNNNNNNNNNNNNNNUGGUGUCUGUACGCUGUCCUAUAAGCCCAAGUGCAUCGUCAAGCUUAUUAGACCAAUCCUCCUUGUAAUCCCCACAAUCUUCUCCAGAAUAGAUUUGAUCUCCCUGUUAGAAAUCUCAACUUGGCCACUUGUUUGGGGAUGAUAAGGAGUUGCCACCUUGUGCUUCACACCGUUCUUCUUGAGAAGUCCCUCAAGCAGUUUGUUAAUGAAGUGGGAACCUCCAUCACUGAUUACAACUCUUGGAACUCCAAACCUUGGGAAGAUGAUGCUCUUGAACAUCUUGAUUACAACUCUAGCAUCAUUGGUGGGGCUUGCAAUGGCUUCCACCCAUUUGGAGACAUAAUCAACAGCCACAAGGAUAUAUUUGUUGCCAAAAGAUGAUGGAAAUGGUCCCAUGAAGUCAAUACCCCAGACAUCAAACACUUCAACUUCAAGGAUUGGAUUUUGAGGCAUCUCAUUCCUCUUGGUGAUGUUUCCUCUUCUUUGGCAAGAAUCACACUUCGAAACAAAGUCUUGUGUAUCCUUGAACAUAUGUGGCCACCAGAAUCCAGCUUGUAAUACUUUUGCAACUGUUUUGAAGGUGGCAAAGUGACCUCCAUAGGAUGAUCCAUGACACUGUGCAAGGAUCCCAUCAAUCUCCUCAUUUGCAACCACUCUCCUAUAAAGCUGAUCUUUGCAGAGAAUGUAGAGGUAGGGUUCGUCCCAGUAAUAUCUUUUCACAUCCUUGUAGAACUUCUUCUUGGCAUACCCUACAAGAUUCAAAGGUUCUCUUCCUGUGGCUAGGUAGUUCACCAAAUCAGCAUACCAAGGUUCUUUCUCCUCUGUUGCUUUGACUUCUUCCAGCUUCCUACCAGUCUCGCAAACUGCUAUCACUGCUUCGAUAGCCAUGAUCUGCUCCUCAGGAAGUCCUUCGUCAAUAGGGAUACCAGACUCUACCCUCAACCUGGACAAAUGAUCAGCUACUCCAUUCUCAACUCCAGGUUUGUCCUUGAUCUCCAUAUCAAACUCUUGGAGCAAAAGGAUCCACCUCAAAAGCCUGGGUUUUGCAUCCUUCUUGGCCAAAAGGUGUCUCAAGGCGGCAUGAUCUGUGUAGACAAUGACUUUAGACCCAACCAAGUAGCUCCUGAACUUCUCAAAGGCAAAAACAAUUGCCAGCAUCUCCUUCUCUGUUGUGGCAUACUUCAUCUGGGCAUCAUUGAGGGUUUGGCUGGCAUAAUAGAUCACAUGGGUUUUGCCAUCUUUCUUCUGCCCCAGAACAGCUCCCACAGCAUAGUCACUGGCGUCACACAUGAUCUCAAAAGGGAGAUCCCAAUCAGGUGGCUGGACAAUUGGGGCACUAACGAGUUCACCUUUCAGCUUCUUGAAAGCUUGUAGACAUUCCACAUCAAAACUGAAGGUAGCUUCCUUGCACAGCAGUCUGGUCAAAGGUCUAGUGAUCAUGGAGAAUCCUUGAUGAACCUCCUGUAGAAUCCAGCAUGACCAAGAAAACUCCGGAUGUCUUUCACUGUCUUUGGUGGAGGCAGACCAACCAUAACAUCGAUUUUGGCUUUAUCCACCUCAAUCCCCUUCUCUGAAAUCUUGUGUCCUAGCACAAUCCCUUCCUUGACCAUGAAGUGACACUUCUCCCAAUUCAGCACAAGGUUGGUGUCUUCACAUCUCUGUAGGACCCUGCACAAAUUUGACAAACAAGCAGAAAACGAAGAUCCGUAGACAGAGAAAUCAUCCAUGAAUACCUCCACAACAUCCUCAAUCAGAUCAGAGAAAAUUGACAUCAUGCACCUUUGAAAGGUGGCUGGAGCAUUACAUAGUCCAAAUGGCAUUCUUCGAUAUGCAAAGGUACCAUAGGGACAUGUGAAUGUCGUUUUCUCUUGAUCAUUGGGAUGUAUGGGGAUUUGGAAAAAUCCUGAGUACCCAUCAAGGAAACAAUAGAAUGGGUGAUUUGCAAGUCUCUCAAGCAUCUGAUCAAUAAAUGGUAGUGGAAAAUGAUCCUUUCUAGAUGCAGAGUUUAGUUUUCGGUAAUCAAUGCACAUUCUAUGACCUGUGAUGGUUCUUGUUGGUAUCAAUUCAUCCUUGUCAUUCUUGAUCACAGUGAUACCACCUUUCUUUGGUACAACAUGCACAGGUGAUACCCAUUUAGAAUCUGAGAUAGGGUAAAUAACACCAGCAUCUAGGAGUUUAAGAAUCUCUUUCUUUACAACAUCCUUCAGGUUAGGAUUUAACCUUCUUUGAUGCUCGAUAGAAGUCAUUGAUUCAUCCUCAAGAUGUAUCCUAUGCAUGCACAAAGAGGGUGAUAUCCCCUUGAUGUCAUCUAGUGAGUAACCUAUUGCCUUUCUAAAUCUUUUAAGUGUUUUCAAAAGUUCAGAUAGCUCAUUUUCAGUAAGUUCACUACUCACAAUGACAGGGUAAGUUUCAUUAGGACCAAGGAAUGCAUACCUUACACCAUGGGGAAGAGGUUUAAGCUCCACUUUAGGUGCCUUAAGUUCACUCCAGUCAUCCUGCUGGUUGUCCUCUUGUUGAGUGACUGAGACUUGUUGGUGAACCAUCUGUGGAAGCUCCUCGUACUGGUCCUUACUGAAAAACGCCUGGUGUGAAUCCAGCAUCAUCCCAUAGGCAGUACUCUCCAGGUUCUCAAUCACCUCAGUCUCCUUCUCUACAGUUAAAGCAUGCUGUAGAGGGUCCUCUAGUGACAACUCUUCAAGGAGUUCAUCAGCAAGGGCAUCCAUCUCUUCGAUGUAGAACACUUGUCCUUGAACUGUUGGCCUCCUCAUUACUUCCUUGAUGUCGAAAUGCAGAACGUGCCCUUUACCCAGAUGGAGAUCAAUCUUGCCUUCUUUAACAUUAACAAUAGCUCCUGCUGUGGCUAAGAAAGGUCUUCCAAGGAUUAAAGGAUCUUGAGCUUCUUCACCCAUUUCAAGCACCACAAAGUCUGUAGGGAUCUCAUAAUUUCCAACCAUCACUGGGAGGUCCUCUAAGAUACCCACAGGGUACUUCACUGAACGAUCAGCCAAUACCAGAGAAAGUCUACACUUCUUGUACUGAGUGAAACCCAGCUUCUUAGCAACAGAUAGGGGCAUCAAGCUGACACUAGCUCCCAAAUCGCAGAGACAUCUAUCAAAUACCAUAGGUCCAAGAGCACAAGGUAAUGUGAAGCAUCCUGGAUCUUCUAGCUUCUUUGGAAUGACCAGUCUCUGAAUGAUAGCACUGCACUCAUGAGUGAGAAUCACCAUGCCCUCCAUCUCUUUCUUCUUUGCAGCUACAGCAUCUUUGAGGAACUUGCUGUACUGAGGGAUCAGCAUGAAAGCGUCAAUAAUGGGCAUUGUGACCUGGACUUCACUCAUUUGCUUGUCAAACAAAGCUUUGUACUUCUCUAGCAGCUGCCUCUUGAAUCGACCUGGGAAUGGAAGCUUGGGUUCAUAGGCAGGAGGAACAAAAGAGUUUUCACUUGCAGGAGUGACAACUUCACCAUCUUUAACUGUUUUCUUCUCUUCUCCAACCUUUCCUUUUCCUUUUGCUUCCACUAUCUUUUCCAAGAUCUCGUCAUUGAUCUUCUCAUCAACAAUCACCACUUCAUCAUCUAUGGUGAUGGCAACCCCCUCACUUUGUUUCUCAGCAUCCUUGGUGAGAGUUCUCUGAGGUAACUCCUUACCACUCCUGAGAGUGAUAGCUUUCAUGGUUUCCUUGGGGUUUUGCUCAGAUUUUCCAGGUAGAGAACCUUGUUGGCGAUUUUGUUGAGUGUUCAUGGCAGCAAACUGGUUCUCCAAAGCUCUGAACUUGUUGUUGAGCUCAUUGUAGCUCCCAUCAAUCUUUGAGUGAAGAUUCUUCAACUCAUAGCCAACAUGCUUCUCACUUCUUGUUUGAGACUCCAGGAUUUGUUUCAGUAGAGCAUCAGUGCUGCUGACUUGAGGAGUGGAGGUAGAGGGAUUAGAUUGUUGUUGGGAAGAAUGGUUGCCCUUGUUGUUGAACCAGGAGGAGGGUUUUGCUGAGGUUGAUAGCUGCCUUGCUGAUUGUUCCGAGGCUGAUAACCACUCUGUUGGUUGUUGGAAUAGGAUUUCUGUUGGUAGUUGUUGUACUGAAAGUUGGGUUCUUUCUUGUACCAGCUACCAUUGUUGUUGAUGAAACACAGCUCUUCCUGACCUUCCAAACCCUCAACUUCAUGGACAACAACUGGUGUCUCUUGGCUUGGGUUGCCAACAAAGUGCAGCUGCUCUUGGGUAGCUUUAUCAGCAAUGAGGAUGUCUAUCUUAUCCUGUAGAGCCUUCAAUUCCUUCCUCGUCUGCUUAUCAUCAGUUCUACUGCCUCUGUCGUGGUCUCCACUGUAGACUGCAUCACUCUUAACCAUGUUGUCAACCAGCUCCUCUGCAUCCUCCUCAGUUCUCCCCAAGAAGAACCCAUUACUAGCUGUAUCCAGUCUGGCCCUGUACUUAGGGAGAGCACCACGGUAGAAUGUGCUCAGCAAGCUCUCCUUAGAGAAACCAUGGUGUGGGCAUUGAGCUUGGUAGCCCUUGAAUCUCUCCCAGGCUUCACUGAAACCUUCCAAGCCCUUCUGUUGAAAGCUGGAGAUCUCGUUUCUCAGCUUAGCAGUUCUUGAAGUAGAGAAGAACUUCUCCAAGAAUGCUUUCUUGCAGUCAUCCCAAGUGGUAAUGGAGUCGCUGGGUAGAGACUUCUCCCACUGACGUGCCUUAUCCCCAAAGAGAAAGGGAAUAGCUUGAGCUUUAAAGCAUCUUCGGACACACCAUUGGUUUUUGACAACCCACAGUAGCUGUCGAACCUGUCCAAGUGAUCAAAUGGAUCCUCUAGAGCCAAGCCAUGAUACUUGUUGUUCUCGAUCACGUUGAGGAGUCCUGACUUGAUCUCAAAGUUGUUGGCUGCCACAGCGGGUGCUCGGAUUCCCAAUCUAUGACCAUGAAUGUUUGGACGGUCGUAAGUGCCAAUGGGUCGAGCUGCUCGCUGUUGGUUAGGUGGACCAUUGUUGUUAGCGCCAUUGACGCCUGCAUCUUCUUGAUGAACGUCUCCCAUGUCAGUGUUCAGUCUCUGCGAUUGAGCCUGAUGUUCUUCUUCUCUUCUCUUUCUAGCACACUCUCUCUCUAAAGCUCUGAUGUCUGCUGCUCUUGGAACUAGGUUUGAUGGACCCCUGCUCCGCAAGUUCAUACACCUGUAGAUUAAAGGGAGGUGAAGAAGAGUCAGUAACAAAAGAAAAUAAAAAUGACUUAGUCUCAAGCAAUUGACUAAAUCUCAAUGUUUAAAUCUACUCAGAAUUUGGCAACGGCGCCAAUUUGAUGUUAGGAGUUUUCAAGGCUCCUAAGACAAAUGCUGUAGUAUAAAUGAUUGUCGAACCAGUUCUGAGAGAUAUCAAAGCACCGAGAAUGCAA
rnacentral:lncRNA from 1 species